CCUACGGGAGGCUGCAGUGGGGAAUAUUGGACAAUGGGCGAAAGCCUGAUCCAGCCAUGCCGCGUGUGUGAAGAAGGCCUUCGGGUUGUAAAGCACUUUCAGUGGGGAAGAAAGCCUUGGGGCUAAUACCCUCGAGGAAGGACAUCACCCACAGAAGAAGCACCGGCUAACUCCGUGCCAGCAGCCGCGGUAAUACGGAGGGUGCGAGCGUUAAUCGGAAUUACUGAGCGUAAAGCGCGCGUAGGCGGUCUGAUAAGCCGGUUGUGAAAGCCCCGGGCUCAACCUGGGAACGGCAUCCGGAACUGUCAGGCUAGAGUGCAGGAGAGGAAGGUAGAAUUCCCGGUGUAGCGGUGAAAUGCGUAGAGAUCGGGAGGAAUACCAGUGGCGAAGGCGGCCUUCUGGACUGACACUGACGCUGAGGUGCGAAAGCGUGGGUAGCAAACAGGAUUAGAUACCCCAGUAGUC
rnacentral:rRNA from 1 species